AUUUGUAUCAUUGCAGCAUGUAUAGUUCUAACACAAUUUGAAUCUAACGAGAAGAACGAUGACAUGUAACCAAUGACAAAGUUAAGAGGCGUGACUUGAUGGAGGCGCCCCGGCUGCGAUGUGAAGACAGUAAUAAAACCCCGUAGCAUCCACAAAAGUCAGCUGCUGUUUCAAGCGUGGAGUAUAUCGUUUCUGUUGUUGAGCUGAAUUAAACACCGACCGUGUUUGGUAAACAAAUUUUUGGACCUCCAAAUCUUGUUCAAGUAACCAGCAUCUGCGUCAGUUGGACUGGGCGGUCAGACUGUUAUCUUACACAACCUGAGCAGAUACUUUGUAUUGAGGACAGCCGGGUGAUGAUACAAAGUACAUUAGCACAAUGGGAUCAGUUACGGACACCCUUCCUUGUGGCUGCACAGCGUGAGGGGAUUUUUGUUUUGUUUUCUUUCAGGCUUGAAAGCUGAAGGUAAUACAGCCAACUCUUCAAAACUGCGCUGUAUGUGAAUGUAUGUUUGAGUUAGAAUAUUUAAAUCUGAAAAGUGGAUUGUUAUUUACAUGUUAAACCAG
ensembl:lncRNA